AUUGAACGCUGGCGGCAGGCCUAACACAUGCAAGUCGAACGGUAGCACAGAGAGCUUGCUCUCGGGUGACGAGUGGCGGACGGGUGAGUAAUGUCUGGGAAACUGCCUGAUGGAGGGGGAUAACUACUGGAAACGGUAGCUAAUACCGCAUAACGUCGCAAGACCAAAGAGGGGGACCUUCGGGCCUCUUGCCAUCAGAUGUGCCCAGAUGGGAUUAGCUAGUAGGUGGGUAACGGCUCACCUAGGCGACGAUCCCUAGCUGGUCUGAGAGGAUGACCAGCCACACUGGAACUGAGACACGGUCCAGACUCCUACGGGAGGCAGCAGUGGGGAAUAUUGCACAAUGGGCGCAAGCCUGAUGCAGCCAUGCCGCGUGUAUG
rnacentral:rRNA from 1 species